rnacentral:rRNA from 1 species
UACGUAGGGGGCAAGCGUUGUCCGGAUUUAUUGGGCGUAAAGAGCUCGUAGGUGGUUCGGUAAGUCGGAUGUGGAAUCUCCAGGCUCAACCUGGAGGGGUCAUUCGAUACUGCCGUGACUAGAGGUCGGUAGGGGAGUGUGGAAUUCCUGGUGGAGCGGUGAAAUGCGCAGAUAUCAGGAGGAACACCCGUAGCGAAGGCGGCACUCUGGGCCGAUACUGACACUGAGGAGCGAAAGCGUGGGGAGCAAACAGG